GACGAACGCUGGCGGCGUGCCUAAUACAUGCAAGUUGAGCGCUGAAGGUUGGUACUUGUACCGACUGGAUGAGCAGCGCACGGGUGAGUAACGCGUGGGGAAUCUGCCUUUGAGCGGGGGACAACAUUUGGAAACGAAUGCUAAUACCGCAUAAAAACUUUAAACACAAGUUUUAAGUUUGAAAGAUGCAAUUGCAUCACUCAAAGAUGAUCCCGCGUUGUAUUAGCUAGUUGGUGAGGUAAAGGCUCACCAAGGCGAUGAUACAUAGCCGACCUGAGAGGGUGAUCGGCCACAUUGGGACUGAGACACGGCCCAAACUCCUACGGGAGGCAGCAGUAGGGAAUCUUCGGCAAUGGACGAAAGUCUGACCGAGCAACGCCGCGUGAGUGAAGAAGGGUUUCGGAUCGUAAAACUCUGUUGGUAGAGAAGAACGUUGGUGAGAGUGGAAAGCUCAUCAAGUGACGGUAACUACCCAGAAAGGGACGGCUAACUACGUG
rnacentral:rRNA from 1 species